AUGAUUGUUGGGCUGAGAGAGGAGAGAUGGACAGUGACUUGUUUUGUUGCGGAGCAUACACAUCCAUUGCUGGAACAGCCGGAGCGUGUUAGGUACUACCAGUCGCACCGCAGUAUACCUGCCGAGGAUUACCAGCUCUUGUUGACGUUGCAUGAUGUGAACCUAUCAAAUUCAGAUUGCAUGGGUGUCCUUGGCAGGGUCCAUGGAGGUGACACCAGGAUACUCCCAUAUGUGAAGAGAGAUGUUUCGAAUGAACGUGCAAAGCUCCGGAGAGGGCUAACAUUCCGAGACAUGGAUAUGACAGUCGUGUACUUUGAGAGGAGGAAAGCUGAGAAUCCAGAGUUUUUCUAUGCGAAACAAAAGGAUCCUGCAACAAACUCCGUGACUGCCUUGUUUUGGGUU
rnacentral:rRNA from 1 species